UUAUUUGGGUUGUUGUUUCUUUGACAUAUACCCCAUUUCCAUUCUCAAUUUUAUUAUUUUCAAAUUUUCAAAUUAAGAUUUAUUCGCUUUAUUAAACAAAGAAUACAGUUUUCUUUUCUCAAGAUUGUAAUAUGUGUACACUGGUUUUGUCCUAAGUGUUCAUUCCUUGAUUUCAAAUGUGAAGCUAUCUCCCGUACUCUUACCUUUGUUUACCCAUAAGACACCACACCUUGUUAUCUGCACAUUGUAUGUGAUAAGAUUUUUAUAGAAUUAUUUAGAUUUUGAUAGCAUACUUUUCAUUGUAGUUUCUUCCUUGUGACAUGUAUAAGAAGGAAAAAACAUAUUAUUAUAAAAAGCAGUUUUAGAUGAAAAAUACAGAAUGUGUUGCUGUGUUAUAAUUCACGCCCUAUAUUAUACUCUGUAGUAACUAACAGUACCUACCAGUUAUUCUUAUGGCAUUGUGAAAAAUCACUCUGACCUACACUUUUGGAUAUAUAAGGGGGAAAAAAUCUUUUGAUAAAGAUAAGUCUUUAGGCAGUUUUAUAUACCAGUCACUUAAACAAAUAUGAUGUUGCCUUUAUUUUUCAUCGAUGAGCUGUAAUUUUAGUCUAAAAUGAAAAAUAUCUGAAGCCAUUUAAAGUGUAUCCUCAUAUUGUGUUGAUCAGAAUCCAAGUCUUAAAACGAAUCAGAAUAAAAAUGUGUGAAAUGUUUAAGUUGCAAUUUUGUAUUUGGUUACGUCGAUUUUCUUGCAAAUAAAUUGUCAUUAUAUAGUAAGUGCUUGAUUAUCUUGGAAUCCUCAAUCAAAUUUAAGUUUUUUAAUCCGGUGAAAUACUAUUUUUACCAACAUGUGCCUUACAAAUUGUAUGUAACUCUUUAAUAUAAACACUGUGCUUAGUUUUUAAGAAAUUUCUGUGUUGGUAAAGAGUGGAAAAAGUCUGGCGGCUAAAUAUCUUCUACUUUUUAUAACUUAAUUGUCUGUGUAUGGAUACUGAAAGGAAAAUUGAAGCAACAAGUUUUAUCAUAAAUUUUCCUUGAUGUUUGAUGUUAAGUCUUUACAAAAUUGUGUAUAUAUUUUAUAGAUAUCCUAUUGAUUCCACCAUUAAAAAAAACAAAUAUACAAAUUUUGAACACAUCCAGAUAUGAAUCGAAAUAUACUAUAAAAAAGAAGAUGUGGUAUGAUUGCCAAUGAGACAACUAUGCACAAAAGACCAAAAUGACACAGACAUUAACAACUAUAGGUCACCGUACGGCCUUCAACAUUGAGCAAAGGCCAUACCGCAUAGUCAGCUAUAAAAAGCCCCGAUAAGACAAUGUAAAACAAUUCAAACGAGAAAACUAACAGCCUUAUUUAUGUAAAAAAAUGAACGACAACCACUGAACAUAUACUUUCCAUUUAAACACAAGAUAGGUGACCGAGGACUGUUGGCAUUUAGUUUCCUUUAGUUUGAUUUUGUUUGAAGGAAGGGUCCCAAAUAAGGAAUUCUUCCUGAAAGAAGUUUCGACCAUUUGAUUUUCUUUUAUUUUUUCGUUACUUUUUUUUCCCUUAUUUUGUUAAAAGAGAAACUAUUAUGGUCAGAUUAAGUUUGAAGUUUUAUGAAACA
rnacentral:lncRNA from 1 species